rnacentral:rRNA from 1 species
CCUACGGGUGGCUGCAGUGGGGAAUAUUGGACAAUGGGGGGAACCCUGAUCCAGCCAUGCCGCGUGUGUGAAGAAGGCCCUCGGGUUGUAAAGCACUUUCAGUGAGGAAGAACGCCUGGUGGUUAAUACCCAUCAGGAAAGACAUCACUCACAGAAGAAGCACCGGCUAACUCCGUGCCAGCAGCCGCGGUAAUACGGAGGGUGCGAGCGUUAAUCGGAAUUACUGGGCGUAAAGCGCGCGUAGGUGGCUUGAUAAGCCGGUUGUGAAAGCCCCGGUCUCAACCUGGGAACGGCAUCCGGAACUGUCAAGCUAGAGUGCAGGAGAGGAAGGUAGAAUUCCCGGUGUAGCGGUGAAAUGCGUAGAGAUCGGGAGGAAUACCAGUGGCGAAGGCGGCCUUCUGGACUGACACUGACACUGAGGUGCGAAAGCGUGGGUAGCAAACAGGAUUAGAUACCCUAGUAGUC